ensembl:lncRNA
AUUAUACGCCUGUGGGUGGCGGUAAUGUGUAACAUUGUGCGCUACAGCAGACAACUUGCAAGAGAAGAAGAAAAUCAGGAGGGCUGUUUGAAAAGAUGAACUGCGCGUAAUAUAAUAUUUAUAUCGCUUGAAAACUAUAUAUAUGAUGAUGCUUUAAUAUAUCAAGACGCACGAGAUUUUUAAUCAUUAUGAGCAAAGAACCUCAAGCCUGUUUCAGUUCAAAUAAUGGCUGGAGAACUUUCAUGUGGUUUGAGGGGCCAAUCCUUCUACCUGCAUGAUGUGAAGAGACAUCAUCAGCCGUCUGGGAGGGGUGAGAUAUAUCAUUUUUCAAUGAAGGACAAAACCGGAAUUGUAGUAAUUGUUGGCCUGUAUGCAAAGUGUUGUUAAAUGGUGCAUCUCAUCCUGUCUGUUCACUGUUUCCUAUAGAAAGUGGACAGUUUUCUCACCAAGGAUGUGAAUGUGAUUUUGUCGGGCGUUAAAGAACCUCAUAGUGCUUUGCAGGUGGAUGGUUCAUGUACUGCAGGGGGAAACAAAGUGGAACCCCCAGAACUUUGGAGAAGUAUCAGAGCAGUGUGCUGGCAAAUGCUUGUUUGUGGGGAGUCAAGGUCUACAAUGUAGAUGGUAUCCUUUCAUUUACCUGCUGUAGGGGGCACUCAACAAUAUCAUAUAUACGAGUCACAUGGGCUGAUUUUGGAGUUGCAUUUUGAAGUUUGACAGAAGUUUGAAUUUUGAAGUUUUUUUUUUUUUUUUAAGAAUUCAACCAUUUGUGUCAAAAUGGGGUUGGGAAAAGUAAAGACAAUUUCAGUUUUUAUAUGACUUUGCCAGUUGUUGUUUUUUUUCUUCUUUUUUUAGUUGUUUAAUAAGUGAAGCUCAGAAAAAAAC